UCUGAGGGCAAUCUGGCUGCUACAUCUGUCACCCCAUUCAUCACCAGGGUUGAUUCAGCUGAUCUGGCUGGCUAGGUAGGUGUCGCCUUCUUCCCUCACCACUCCAUGUGUGUCCCUCCCAAAGGUGUGCAUGUGGCUCAAGAGGACGACCUUCCUCAAUAGAGGGAAGUCAAGGUAUGACUCAUGUGUGCUGCUCUGCCCUGCUAGAACAUGCUCCCAAAGCCUAUAUAUUGAAGACUCAUCCUAGGAAAGCCUCACAAGGCAUAAUCUCUAGGUCUUCACAUUGAUGGGAGCCCAGG
rnacentral:snRNA from 1 species